UUUUUUUUAAGUGCACUGAUUGGAGCUGAGUUUCUUCUCAUCUGCAUUUCUCUGAUAGACGAUAUGGACUCAGCUAUUCUCUACCACACAUGUCUGAAUGCUGAAGUGGUCUGGAGUGGAGAAAAAGGAUACUCCAAAUACGUCCUGUUCCUUGGAAAUCUGUUCAACUUGACCAGUGUAUUCUGCUACAUUCAGUCAGUUUUUUACAACCUAAAUUUUAUAUAUUUUAGUACAG